ACUCGAGGCGACACGGUCGCAGGCAAAUGAAGGCGGCCGCGAAGGCCACGGAGCAGGGGCGGAGAAACACCGAACGGCGGCUGGAGGAAAAACGCCUGCGCCGGCCGAAGAGGCGGGGCCUGAGCUUCUGGCGACUAAACUGGGCCACUAGGUGAUCCCUGGGCACUGGACAAGGGCCGCCUCUAAGAUAAGCUGAGUUAAACUUCAGCAAUUGUUAGUGUGCCGCCCUAGCCUAACGUUAGCCCUGGGACCGUCAGUUAGCUUAACUGGUUUCCAAAGCUCUAAAAUCUGAGCCACUAACUGGCCUGAGAGUCUUGCUCCAGUUAUUCAAGCUCAAUGAAGUACUUUUAUUGCCAUCCCUCAGAAAAGAAAACUGAAGCUCAGAGACUUAAAUAGUCCAGAUAGGACAAAUAGAUGGUUGAUAUUUGCAAUGAUGGUACAAAAGCAAUGGUGGAUAAAAUUGCUAGUGUCUGGCAAGAAUCAAAACGACAACAAACCACACCAGUGGUCACUGUAAUCUUCAUCACCACUUCACAGUAAAGAAAAAAAAAAUCCAACUUCAUGUAACAGUGUUCUGGAUGAAGCAAUAAAAAUUAUUAAUCUUGUUAAA